rnacentral:rRNA from 1 species
GACGAACGCUGGCGGCGUGCCUAAUACAUGCAAGUCGAACGCAGUGGGGACGGGUGAGUAACACGUGGGUAACCUCCCAUCAGAGGGGAUAACACGUGGAUACAGGUGCUAAACCGAUACUGGAGGAGGGACCCGUGGUGCAUUAGCUAGUUGGUGGGGUAACGGCUCACCAAGGCCACGAUGACUAGCCGACCUGAGAGGAUGACCGGCCACACUGGGACUGAGACACGGCCCAGACUCCUACGGGAGGCAGCAGUGGGGAAUCUUCGGCAAUGGACGAAAGCCUGACCCAGCAACGCCGCGUGAGUGAAGAAGGUUUUCGGAUCGUAAAGCUCUUUUGUCAGAGAAGCGGUAUCUGCCCAGAAAGCCACGGCUAACUACGUGCCAGCCGCCGCGGUAAUAC